GUGUGUGUGUAUGUGUGUGUGUGUAUUGGAGUAUGUGUUUGUGUGUGUCUAUGCAUGUAUGUGAAAGGGUGGAAUGCACAAACUUUGUUUCUGUAGGCACUUAAGUUGAUGAGGAACAAUCUGUCUUUCUCAUCUAAUGUCUCUUGUUAAAUGCUCUAGCUGUCAUAAGAGCAGGCUGAGGGUAUUCCGGAAUACCAUCAAGACCUUUUUGGACACAACGGAAGUAACCGUGGCAACUGCAUGUCCAGUUUCUCUCUUUUUUUUCCCCCCUUGAGGGGACAUCUGUUUGUCUUAAGACAAGAAAGGCCCAAAAUGGACAAACAAGAAUAGGUCACUUGGGCAAACAAUAGGUAGGGCUUACGUCACACUGACGUAAUACACACACACACACACAAACAUACACGCACACACACACUGGGAGGAGAUGAGGAGUCGCUCUUUAAGUUCAGACCCUGGUGUGUCCUAAUCUCAGUGCACGAGGAGCUCUCAGGCGGAGCAGGAGUCAGGGAGAUAACUAGGAAGGAGCCUCAGACAACGCUGUAUCUCGCUACAGCUGACACACAGGUGAACUUAGAUCUAAACAAACACACGGCUGGAUUACAUAAACCCAAACUUUGCUCCACAAAGUAUUUACGGAAUUAAACCAAAACAACAAACUAAAAAAAGCUUAACCUACAAUGGAAGUGGUCUUGACCAGGCUGAGAGAUUUCUCCUGCAAGGAAGCCACCUUUGACACCUGCAAGUCUGCGGCAGCCCUACCUCACCGGGACGUGGAAAGCAGAGGGUGUUUGGCCGGAGAGGAGCCCAGAGGGGACAGCCCCCCACGGGAGUCACACACCCACCGGCUGGACAUCGAGACUGCCCUGGCCUGGUUGAGGAAGGAGCUGAUUGAGAUGCGGUCGCAGGAUCAGGUGCUUAUCCGGCAGCUGAUGGACCUCCAUGAAGGGAUCCAGGAGCUAAAGCUGGAGUACGCUGAGGCCGAGCUGGAGCUCGAGGAGGAGGAGGAGGAGGAGGAGGAGGAGGAGAGUGAGGAGGAUGAAGAGGCCUGCUGGGAUUCGGGCAGCGAUGCCGCGGGCGGCAGCAGCGUGCUAUCAGGUUCUGGAGAGAUCGAUUGCUACCUUCCCUCUACCUCCUACCUGUACCCUCACCACCUGCCCUGCUCACUGUACUCCAUGUUGGGCUUCCAACCCAAACGUCAACUCAGCAGACGCAGUUCUCUGCCCUGAGUGUCUCGCCACACCAGAUGUGUUCAUCUUUACAGUCACUCCACUCCACUUUAAGUGAUAUUUUUCUACAUUAGAGGUGUAUAUUAACUGGAUAGCAAAAAGUACAUAUUUCUUUGAUAGCUACCCAUGAAGAUUAUGUUAUAGUUAACAGAUAACUUAUUUUGGACAGUUUACCAUAUAUGGCUAUGGAUGACCUAAUUUAAGUCACAUUCCUGUGGAGAGAAUGUCCGUUAUUUUCAUCUUCCUCAUCCUCAGUAGGAACAAUGCCACUGUUAAGAGGCAGCUCAUGUAUAAUCUGUGAUAUGAUGGAAUGUUUUUUUUGUCCUAAUGACAAAAGGCAGCAGAAAUCUGCCUGAUGCCUUUCUGUGACUGUGAACGUGUACAGUUUGCAUGUAUUGUACUAGGAGAGCGCUUGCAUUGUUGUGUAAUCCCACACAUAGUUUGUGUAAUCCCAUACAUAGUUUGUGUAAUCCCACACAUAGUUGUGUAAAUCACACACAGUUAAAUGCAUAUUGUUUUGGAUGUUUGUAAAUAAGGCAACCUCAGUUAGUAGGCCAGAGAAAUUAUACAUUCAUUUAAUAUACAUGCUUUUGUAAUGAUUACAUAACUCAUUCAUGGUGUGACAACAACAAGGUCUUUCACAUUUCAGUGCUGCCUUGUGUAACAAACAUGGCAAGUCAAUACAUUAAAAAGUUACAUUCCUCGCAAUGACCCCCCCAAAUGAUGCAAUGAAGUGUGGUGUGUGUGUGUGUGUGUGUGUGUGUGUGUGUGUGUGUGUGUGUGUGUGUGUGUGUGUGUGUGUGUGUGUGUGUGUGUGUGUAGACGGGGGGGUUGACAUUUUAAUUGCAUCAUGCUUUGUGUUCUGUGACAAAACAGUGCAUUGUUUGAGUGGCCCGAGACUGAAUCCUAACAGCCUUACAGUGAAAAGCCUCUGGAUGUUAAAUUGACAGUAAUUGUGGAGGUCAUACAGAUUUCCUCGUCGGGCCAGUAUCAUGUUCCCCUGCACUGCAGAGAUGGAACACACAGACUAACAGAAAGGGGCGAUUACACAGGCAACGGCCUCAAACAAUAAAACCAUGUCAUAUCUGUUUUCA
ensembl:lncRNA